AAUCAGAAACACAAUUUUAUUCUACAAAUGAAUUUUUUGCGUCAAAGGGAGCAACACACAGCAACCCACCAAUUCAAACAGUAGUAGCACUCAAUUACUCUCUCCCUCUCUAGCGAUCCCACAGCCGAGUUGAACAACCCUCAUUCUCCGCUGCCGGCGUCACGGUUGCGCCACUGUCACUUCGUUUGCUCACGCCGCCGUCGCGUUCUGUUGCUGCCGUGCCGCUGUCGCUCCCCGCCAUCGCUCCUCUUGCUCACGCCGCCGUCGCUCCUUCUCUCUGUUGCCGCCCUCGCUCCUCCUACUUUGGUCCUUCUCCGAUCUCUCUCCAUCAAGCUCAUAAGAACCAGGCAAUGUUUUUUGAUUGUUACUUAACUCUUUCCAAAUCCAACUUCAGUUUCAUUUGAAAAUUCCUAUUUCAGGUAUAAACUUGACCUAAUUGUAAUAUCCUGUUCUCUAAAUUUGAAGAGAAUAUAUAAUAUAUGUUGCGAAAUCGAUAAUUUAGGUUAGGUCAAGAGAGACCAUAGCUUUUGCAUCUCUUGAAGUAUUGAGUCCUUUACAAUUGAGCCUGAAGUAAGGAGAAUCGAAAGACUCAAAUCUCAUUCGUCACACAAAAUCUAGGAUGAAGAUCAAUGAUUUUCUGAAGUGAUUUUGAAUUUUUGAUAUACUUGCUGCUUUGGUACAAGGAACAAGAAAAUGGGAGUUCAAAAGUGAAUGUAGCAGUGCUAGUUAUCUGUAAUUUAUGGAGUUUGGAUCCUUGGAAGGUCCUCUUCCAUCAAAGCUCUUCAGCGUUCCUCAAAUUCAGCAAGUGAAACUGAGAAAAGAACCCCAACAUGACAACUUGAAUCGGCUCGAUCCACCGCGUAUGUUCUCAGUUAUUGUCACCAGCAUGCAAAAACUUGCAAUUGUAAUUGUAAUUAAUUAUGAUUAUGAUGUGUGAUUUGAUCGAUCCUGGUAGGUUGCUUGAAGCUUCUGCCAGUUGAAGAACUUGAACACCUUGAUAUUCAUGUGACAGAAGACUCUAAUGGCCCUGUUAACCAGGUUCUAUAUGCUUCAGAGGGCGAGUCUUCUUUUGUAGGACGGAAUGCUACCUUUUCUCUUGCGAGAUUUAAUUUGUUCACUGGAAAUCAAACAUUAGAGCAGAGAGAUACAAGUUUUGAGAUUAAGGAAUCUAUGAUGGUACAUUGUGGUUUCUACAGUUUAAAUGGAGGGUUUAAGAUAUCUGAUGAAGAUAAAACUUAUAUGCAAGCUUGCAAAGUUGUGGUUUCUACUUGUGCAUUUGGUGGUGGAGAUGAUCUCUAUCAACCUAUUGGGAUGUUAGAGGCCUCACUUAAGAAGUGGUAUGCAGGUCUGCUACUUAGCAUUCUGGGAUGAAAUCACCUUAAGAGCACAGGAAUUGGCAGACCACCGAAUUGGCAUUCUUCAAUGGUGAUGAUUAUCUUCAAGUGCAACUAGCUUUGUUUCCUCCUUUAGGACAAUAUUUCAAUAGGAUUGAAGUUCAAAGAAUUGGGUUUGAUUUGACCAACCAAACUUACAAGCCUCCUAAGGAGUUUGGACCUUAUUACUUCAUUACAUUCCCUUAUGCUUUCCCAGAUUCUAACAAAGGAAACUCUCUUAGCACUGGUGCUAUUAUUGGUAUAGCAGUAGGCUCAUCAGUUGUGUUUCUGAGCCUCAAAGCUUUAGCAGUAUAUGCAAUCCUGCAAAAGAAGUGCGCGGAGCGAGCCAUAGGAUUAAGCAAAUCUUUUGCAUCUUGGGCACCAAGUGAAAAGGAUAGUGGAGGUGCACCACAAUUAAAGGGUGCAAGAUGGUUCUCAUAUGAUGAACUAAAAAAGAGCACUAGUAAUUUCUCUGAAAUUAGGAUUUGGUGGUUAUGAAAAGGUGUACAAAGGGGUGCUUCCUAAUGGAAAAAUCGUCGCGAUCAAGCAAGCUCAGCAAGGAUCAAUGCAAGGAGGCCUAGAAUUCAAAACUGAAAUUGAGUUGCUUUCAAGAAUUCAUCACAAUGUAUUAUUAGUGGAUUGCAAUUUAAACGAAUAUAAAUAUAAGUUUAGUUAUUUAUCGUGUCUUGAAUCUUUAUGUUAGAGGAUUAUUUAUUAUUUUGAUAAGUUUGUAAACUCAUUAUCUAAUAUUUAAUAUCAAU